GAGCGCGGGGGAGCGGCGGGGCUGGGCCGCCCUGUGAGGGAAGCUCUAGUUGGCUAUGACCGUGUGUUUGCCCAGAAAUGGGGCCGGCUCAAUGUACACCUAAUGCCCGGGGUGUGCUCUGCCUCGUUGCUUUGCUCUCUAGUGAUUUUGAGGGGGGAAUUACCGUGCGGCCGGGCUGGCUGCACGCCCGCGGGGCGGCUCUCCGGGAGCCGCCCCGGUACCGGGGGGACAGCCCCUGCACCUGGAUAACCUGCGCUGUUCCUGUCCGCAGGGACACUGAAUGUAGCUUCUGUAAGUGAUUAUUCCUAACAGGAGAGAAAGUGUAGGAAGUUUUCACUUUCACAUAAUGGAGUAAAUCAGCAUCAGAAAACAAGAGAAGAUUGAGGUGAAGAGAAAACAAAAACAAAAGCGAGGAAGAAAGCAUCAGAAAAAAGAGUGAGCUGUAACAAGAAGCUGCACGCCAGCGUGUGAUCGCUGUGACCUGGGCGAAAGAAAUGCUCGAAGCUGCAUCUCAGUAAAAAUUCCCCCACUAGUGGGUGCAGUCGCUGCCCUCGAUUUGCGAUAAAUGCAGCUAUUCAGUUCCGUUGAGGCUCCAGAGAGGCGAAACAGCAGAUUGUACCCGAAAAUGGAGAGACAUAACUGAGCCUUCUCCUUUUACACCUUCCCAUCCAUUCCUUUCACCCCAAAAAAAUGCAUGUAAAGAAGAAUAAAACAGCAUGCACCAAUCAAUCCGGCCAUGAGAAAGAGUUCUUGGGCUUAGUCUGGCAGGGAGUGGCUUGUCAGGGGAUCGAAGGUAUUGCCUUUGGCGAUUGAUGACUGUUCAGAGAAACAGAACUUUACAGAUAUUCUCGUUUAUUCAAAGCAAACCACAGCCAACAAACAAAACUCUUCAACAGCAAGGGUUUGUUUCAAAGAAUUGUCACUGCAGAACCUACUUGUUUCUCCAGCUUCUACAACCAGCAAGACCUAAUUCUGUUCCCUAAUUGUUCCAGUCCUACGUGUGCACUGCUGAACAGCCCGAGGUGACAGAUGUGGUCUGGCUGAGGCCAGGGCACUGAACUCUUUAUUGCCUUUGCAUUAACCAAAGGAUGUAAUCUGGAGUUUGAAGUGGCUUUAUGACAUUUUGUGCUUGUUAUUUGAGUACGGACAAUAUCUGAUCAGUUACGUGUUUCUUUUUUGUUAGAAAUUAAUUAUUUUAAAAUUCACCAAAACUUGAGGGAAGUGAGGUCCCCACAACUGUCAGUGUUGAGCCCAUGCCCAUGUAUCCCACCAGGUGCUCAAUAGCUUGAUGAGGGUUCAGGUCCUCAUGUGGACUCUGUGUGUUACCCCAAGCUGUGUGAAUCCCCCACCUAUUUCUUUUCCAUUGCCAUCUGUAAUGGACUCAUGCAUUUUCUCUAAUUUGUGACCUCCAUUUCCCUGUCCCCCCUCUCAAAUGUCCCUGCAAAUGUUGUGCCCUUUUUGCUUUGAAAACCUAUUUUUCUAUCUUAGCAGAAGAUGUCAGCUUGCUUCUGAAGUCCUGUUACACCAAAAGACAUGGUACAUUAUCAAAAUAGUCCAUCUCCAUUAAAAUAAUGAUCUA